UCUCCACACUGGCAUUACAUGAUCAUUUCACAGGCUUUGAUGUGAAGUGUUUUCUGUGAGAGAGACAGUACAACCUCCUCCUCCAUCAAAUCUUCAUGACAUUUUUUCAAGGAUGAGGGCAUCAAUGAAGACUAGUAUUUAUUAGCCAUCUCUAAUUGCUAGUGAGUUGAAAGGUCAAUUUCCAAGGGCAAUUGGGAUUCCUGCAGGCCUAUUGGUCACAUUUCGAUCAGACCAGGUAAAUGGUGGUAAAUAUUCCACAGCUGCAAUGAAAAAGUAGCUUUGACAAUUGAAAAGGAUAACGCUGUGAGUCAUAGCUCACAGACCGUGGAG